rnacentral:rRNA from 1 species
UACGUAGGUGGCAAGCGUUGUCCGGAUUUACUGGGCGUAAAGAGCGCGCAGGCGGUCAAAUAAGUCGAAUGUGAAAGCCCCCGGCUCAACUGGGGAGGGUCAUUCGAUACUGUUCGACUCGAAGGCAGGAGAGGGAAGCGGAAUUCCCGGUGUAGUGGUGAAAUGCGUAGAUAUCGGGAGGAACACCAGUGGCGAAGGCGGCUUUCUGGCCUGUUCUUGACGCUGAGGCGCGAAAGCCAGGGGAGCAAACGGG